rnacentral:lncRNA from 1 species
AAGGCCCAACAUUUAUAUAGUCCAAGCUUAUAUUAUGGGCUGACACAUUUGAAAAUCAUCACAAAUAAUAAACCACAUAAACAAUUACAUAAUAAAGAUAAUUAGACAUUCUAGUAGAAUAGGUUCUCCAAGCAUCAAGGUUUAUAAAUGUAGCAUUCUGCGUACAUCAUAUGCCUCACAUCCCAUUGUCUUUCCAUAAACCGAAACAAUUCACCCGAGACAUCAAGCAGAUUACAAAAGCUGUGCUAAACACAUCAAGAGGGGGUAGAUUCUAGAAUCAGCUGAUCUAACAUUUGUGUGCUAGCGACAGCAUGCUUGGUGUCCUGGAAUGGCCACCUAUAGCAAUCAAAACUAUUGCUGGGGUACCUUACAUUGAACAAGGAAUCAAGUCAGAACACCAUACAAAUCUCAUGGUUCAAACACGUUCAUGGUGAAAUUAAUAAACAAAUAUAGUACUUGCACUGAUAAUCAAUCUAAUGUCACUACUUGUCAUUAACUUGUCAUACUGCAGAUCUAGUAUUCCAAAAUUGACAUUGCAAGCUUUGUAGCCUAUAUAGCAUUGACAUUGUUAAGUUUCAGUAGAGUAUAUAUAAUGCUGGCUCACAGAAGCAUUUAACAUGCUGCUUUACUACUGCCACUACAGGCAAUACACGCACUAAAAAAGAAAGAUCAGUACUUAUUUGAUUAAUUUGGAUAAACUUGAAUACUAAAUAACUAAGCCAGCACAUGCAUCUAGAACAUGUUACAUUCAAUGUAGUAACUAGAAUUAACAAAGACAACUUCCCGAUUCUCUUGCUGCUACCGAAUUGAGCAAAAACAAAAUUUGAAAGCUUCAGUUGCAACUGUGCAUGGAAUCAACCUAGAUCUGCAGCUACUAAGUCCUCAACUACACUGACUAAUUAAAAAGUACACUACAAGAAAUUGUUCAGUCUUGAGGUAAUAUAAGCAGGGACACAAAUGCAGGAGCUUAUAAAUUAGUAAUUUAACGAUUCAUGAUGCUUAAACAAACAUAAAUCAUGCUUGCAGAGUCGUUUGCUUCCUUACCCAAGGGAGAUGCACAGGCAUCAACAGGCAGCGCCCAACUGAACCAUACUGAAAACUGCACUUAUGGUGACAAGCGGACUGGGUGAGCCCUCAACAACGUGGCCAUCACCCAGCUAGCUUCCUCAUCCUUGAAACAAAAAAUAGAUGUACGGAAUUCAGAUUACAUUGGAGACAAAAAAAAAAUAUGUACAUAAUCUAAAAUAAGUCAUCACCCAGUUUGCUUCCUCAUCCUUCAAACAACUAUCAAAUAUCUGAAAUGCUCAGAUUAAGUAUGAUAAAGAAUUAACAUGUAUGCUAAUUUAAUAUUCAUCUAACAUUUAGGAACAAAAAUAUGCAUAACUUAUAUUAGCUCAAUACAUACUAGUGCUUCGUUUGCUUUACUGCAAUAGCUAGCUCACGUUAUAGCACAUGGUUUUGUUAUCUGAAAAAAAGGACAUGGUAAAGCAGAGGUUGAUUUCAUUAUAUCACAGUUCUGCGCAAUGUAACCCAGAGCAGAUUCUAUUUGUUGAGUGAGAAAACAAGUUAUAGUUAAUGUUCUAGUUGGUCUAAGCAUGACAGUUUACAUACAUAUAGAGUAGAAUUGCAAAAAUGGAGGCUAACUUAUUCAUUAGUAAGGUAACAACCUACAAGUAAUCAGGAAGUACACAGAACUGAGCACUGUAAAAACUGAAUAUCCACAAACAGCUCCUUUUCAAUUUUUUUGUAGCAAAUGAAUUCAAUCUAAAAGGUAGUGAAGCUAGAUUUCAGUGAAACACAACCCCACAUGGCAAAGUUCAAUUUCCCAGGAUUAUCAAUUAGUCGACCUCAAGCACAAUUAAUUUAUGGAGUGGGAUAGUUUUGGGAUAAAAAAUCCAAGCACAAUUAGUUAUGGAGUGGGAUUAUCAAUUAGUCGACCUCAAGCACAAUUAAUUUCCAGGCAGGUUGUACAAAAGAGAAGAUAGUUUUGGGAUAAAAAAGAACACUCCAAGCUCGAUUAUCCCGAUAUUUAUGUACCAACCUUUCAGAGGACAUAAAAAUUAGAGUAUGUACAAACAGUAUAACCUUUCAGAGGGCAUAAAAAUUCUAGUGUAUGUACAAAUAGUAUAACCUUUCAGAGGACGGGUAUUAAUCUUCAGGAAGGGAGAUGGAUAAUGGAUCUAGGUACAUAGAUACUACAACCCGGUUGAAAGCAUCACGUGUCCUACCCUCUUACCAUCCGAUGGAUCAAGAACAAAAAUAAAGCAAAAAAAAAAGAUCAGAGUUGACCAUCACACGCUGCAUUUCACGUCAUACGCAUCCAUAUCAAAGACUGACAAACAUGAGAAAACCGGAUCUUACCAAGCUGUACCAAGUCUCUUCCCGAUAGCUAGCACCAUGGUCCUGGCUGCUAGCGCCAUGGUCAGUGGCCGUGCUCGCAGGCCUCGCCCUGGCAUCUCACGCCUUGCGGCGUUCGCUCUCGUAGCCGCUGCCCGUGGCUACUCUCGCCUGACGGCGGCCGCGCUCGCAGGCCUCACCCGUGGCAGCUCGUGCCCAGCCAUUCGCAGCUGCGCUCUGCGGCCGCGGCAGCGCACCGAGGCACGAAGAUGCAUCCAUGCCUUCCAAGGAGAUAUGUGGGGAGGGAAACAAGGGCGGCGGGUUGUAGAAGGACCAAAGGACGAAGGGAAGGGGUGCCCUUGCUUGGCGGCUAUGGA